AUUGAACGCUGGCGGCAGGCCUAACACAUGCAAGUCGAACGAGUGGCGGCCGGGUGAGUAAUGACUGGGAAACUGCCCGAUGGAGGGGGAUAACUACUGGAAACGGUAGCUAAUACCGCAUACCAUCGGAGGUGCCCAGAUGGGAUUAGCUAGUAGGUUGGGUAAUGGCUCACCUAGGCGAAGAUCCCUAGCUGGUCUGAGAGGAUGACCAGCAACACUGUAACUGAGACACGGUCCAGCGUCCUACGUGAGGCAGAAGUGGGUAAUAUUGCACAAUGGGCGCAAGCCGGAUGCAGCCAGGCCGUGUGUAUGAAGAAGGCCUUCGGGUGGUAAAGUACUUUCAGCGAGGAGGCGUUACUCGCAGAAGAAGCACCGGCUAACUCCGUGCCAGCAGCCGCGGUAAUUC
rnacentral:rRNA from 1 species